GCCUGGGUGGCUCAGUCAGUUGAGCAUCUGACUUCGGCUCAGGUCAUGAUCUCACAGUUUGUGGGUUCGAGCCCCACGUCAGGCU
rnacentral:tRNA from 1 species